UACGUAGGGGGCAAGCGUUGUCCGGAUUUAUUGGGCGUAAAGCGCGCGCAGGCGGUCCUUUAAGUCUGAUGUGAAAGCCCACGGCUCAACCGUGGAGGGUCAUUGGAAACUGGGGGACUUGAGUGCAGAAGAGGAGAGCGGAAUUCCACGUGUAGCGGUGAAAUGCGUAGAGAUGUGGAGGAACACCAGUGGCGAAGGCGGCUCUCUGGUCUGUAACUGACGCUGAGGCGCGAAAGCGUGGGGAGCGAACAGG
rnacentral:rRNA from 1 species